GAGAGAGCCUUAAAAACAUACAAAAACAGACCUCCACAGACUUUAAGAGCGGCCCACAUGGAGAGAGGGAAAGAAAGUUGAAACUUCUGAGAGAAGAAUUUCAGAAGUGUUUAAAAUUGAUGAUAAGAAAAGCGACUCAUGAAGAAACCAUUCUCCACUGAGGGCUGAGAAAACAGGUACCAACCAUCCAACUUAAAACCAAAGAGAACAUCAUCUAGCACCCUCGUGUCAAGCCCACUUCCACUCCCAGACCUGUUCCACCCUCUACCACUUAACUGCUGUGAGUGCAUCAAUGGCAAAACACUGAUUGAUUGAUACAUUGAGGAAAGGAUGCUGUUUC